CAAAGUAUUUCCUCGUCAUAUUGUGUAUAAAAUUGUUCAUACUUUGUUCUCCAGCACAACCUGCCCUGACACAGACUGAACCAGUGUGAACGAAAGCGUUGGCUCAGAAUCAAUCAACUGAAGAUGUUGAAGCUUAUCGUACUGUCCUGUCUAGUGGCCUGUGUCUUAUGUCAAACCUACGGAAGAAGGCGAUUUUCCUUGUAUGAAAAUAGAAGAGGAAAUAGCUGGGACUUGGAAAACGAUCGUUGGAACAGGGAUAGCUUUGGAAGAGAUUGGAACCGACGUAGAAGCGACAGGUUGGGAGACUUGAGGGGAGACAUGUUGGGAGACAGGUGGGGAGACAGGUGGGGAGACAGGAGGAGAGACAUGUUGGGAGGCAGAAGGUCUCGUGUUAGAAUAGCACACAGACGGAGACAGAUCAGGGAAUACUGAUGUAGAGACAAGCAAUUAUGGCAAAAAGAUACCUGUGGCCGAAAAUAAGAAAAUCCAUGUCAACGACUUCAUGCAUAUAUUCAUUUAUAAAUUCAUAUUCCUCAUAACGUUUAUCUAAUAAAACUCUUAUCGUAUAUAUACAUAUGAUAUUUCCAUUCUGUUCUUUGUUCUGCGCUUAUAAAAUAGGUUGUCAUAAUAUUGUUUCUUAUUCAAUGCAAACUUAAAAUGUAUAUAUUUGUCAUGUUAUAAUCGUUUUUAAAAAGAAUGUACAAAAUUUAUAUAAUAAAAAUUAACAGAAAAGGAUAGCUGGAAGUGAAAUAGAAGAUCAGGUUUUAUCCUUUAAUACACAUCUCACAGCCGAUGGAAGAAAGUGAUAACGAACUUUGGAGAUGUCAAUAGAAAUGAAAAGUAUAAAGAUACCUAAUGUAAUUUCAUGAUAGCGACUGUACAUUUGCUGUUAGGAACUUUGUGUUAAUUGUACAAUAUGUAUACAGUUUUAUCUUGCGUCGCAACAAGAAAACCUAAGAUAGAGUUAUCUUAACUAGAAUAUUAGAGGGGACAUACAGUACGCCGUAAAUGUUGGAGUUUUAUUGGAUACAUAGGCAAAACCACACAUAUGUGUUGAUCUGAGUAUUCGAAUCGCAUGAGUUUGUGGUGGCGGAGGAAUAUAUCACGAGUGCGCUUCGCACGAGUGAUAUAUUCCCUCCGCGCCACAAACGAGUGCGAUCCGAAUACUCAGAUCAACACAUAUGUGUGGUUUUUCUUUUAUCACAUGACUUAACCCUAUUGUAGCCUUGGUAAUUAGGAAUUUUAUCUGAUAUGACUAAAUGCACAUUUUAUGUUUUUCCUCUUUUUGUCGUUUUCCAUCGGCACACAGGUCGACGCAAUGCCAGGAUUUUUUUAUAAGAAACUUGUGUUUUAUUAAAAAAAUAAAUGGCA